rnacentral:misc_RNA from 1 species
GCCACAUAAAUACAAUUCACAUACCACCAACUAAAUUGGCAAUUUGGCAUAACACAUCAAUAUUAGCCAUUGUAAAAGCAAUGAUAAGAAGAUCACUCUUUCUUAAGUUCCUCCUUGUACAUCUAUAUAUUUCAAAAAUAAUUUUCAAAACAAAAAAACUAUAUUCGAAGAGUAAUAUUAAUAUGAACAUCACAGCUUUUUGUCCACUAAGAAAAAGUUUGCAGAGUGUGAUAAUUCAUAUAAACAUUAUAAAUUUAGAUCCAAUGUCUGUUACCCUCUUCCGACCCCAAAUUUUUGGGAUAAA